GACCUUGAAAGUAUGAAUGUGAACCUGAUGAGGAAUAAACUGCAUUCAGACAGAGAAUGUGUAAAAUGAGGUAGCAAGGGAAUCUCUCCCACUUCUUCAGGGAAAGGAAAUAACCAUCAUGACAGGUGUUCACAAAGAGACUGGAGCGGACAUCCAAGAAAACUGGAUUGGGUCUGAGAAGAUCUGGAAGUAACAGAGUUGGGGACAGCUGCAACAGGAGACAACAGAAAAUUUCAGACGGAGAGCAAGUAAUGAGCAGAAUGCAUGUGGGGGAACCAUCAGACUUUAGAGAUUACUCUCGCCCUUGCCUGGAGUCCUACUUCCCCAUUUAUCACUCAGAAAUCUGGAUCAAGAAGGAUAGAUUUGUGGAUCACGUUUCAUGGCCCUCUUGGGGAAAACAAUGAGGGUCAACAGACUGGAGCAUCUUAAAAAAUAACAUCAGAAUCGCUACCCUGCUGGUGUAUUAGCCAUGAAAAAACUUUCAUCUUCCGUGGUUCUC